rnacentral:rRNA from 1 species
UACGAAGGGGGCUAGCGUUGCUCGGAAUCACUGGGCGUAAAGCGCACGUAGGCGGCUUGUUAAGUCAGGGGUGAAAUCCUGGAGCUCAACUCCAGAACUGCCUUUGAUACUGAUGAGCUUGAGUUCGGGAGAGGUGAGUGGAACUGCGAGUGUAGAGGUGAAAUUCGUAGAUAUUCGCAAGAACACCAGUGGCGAAGGCGCUCACUGGCCCGAUACUGACGCUGAGGCGCGAAAGCCAGGGGAGCAAAGCGGG